rnacentral:rRNA from 1 species
AUUGAACGCUGGCGGCAGGCUUAACACAUGCAAGUCGAACGAGUGGCGGACGGGUGAGUAAUGCCUGGGAAUUUGGCUUAUGGAGGGGGAUAACGACGGGAAACUGUCGCUAAUACCGCGUACCAUAGGAUGAGCCCAAGUGGGAUUAGGUAGUUGGUGGGGUAAUGGCCUACCAAGCCGAGAAUCUCUAACUGGUCUGAGAGGAUGACCGUCAACACCGGGACUGAGAAACGGCCCGAACUCCUACGGGAGGGAGCAGGGGGGAAUAUUGAGCAAUGGGGGAAAUCUGACGGAGCCGUGGCGCGUGAAUGAAGAAGGCCUUCGGGUUGUAAAGUUCUUUCGGUGACAAGACGUUAAUCACAGAAGAAGCACCGGCUAACUCCGUGCCAGCCGCCGCGGUAAUAC